rnacentral:rRNA from 1 species
CUUGGUCAUUUAGAGGAAGUAAAAGUCGUAACAAGGUUUCCGUUGGUGAACCAGCGGAGGGAUCAUU